GGGAGGCAGCAGUGGGGAAUAUUGCACAAUGGGGGAAACCCUGAUGCAGCCAUGCCGCGUGUGUGAAGAAGGCUUUCGGGUUGUAAAGCACUUUCAGUUGUGAGGAAAGGGUUGGGAUUAAUACUUUCAAUCUGUGACGUUAACAACAGAAGAAGCACCGGCUAACUCCGUGCCAGCAGCCGCGGUAAUACGGAGGGUGCAAGCGUUAAUCGGAAUUACUGGGCGUAAAGCGUACGUAGGCGGAUCAGAAAGUAGGGGGUGAAAUCCCAGGGCUCAACCCUGGAACUGCCUCCUAAACUCCUGGUCUUGAGUUCGAGAGAGGUGAGUGGAAUUCCAAGUGUAGAGGUGAAAUUCGUAGAUAUUUGGAGGAACACCAGUGGCGAAGGCGGCUCACUGGCUCGAUACUGACGCUGAGGUACGAGAGUGUGGGGAGCAAACAGGAUUAGAUACCCUGGUAGUCCACACCGUAAACGAUGAAUGCCAGUCGUCGGGCAGUAUACUGUUCGGUGACACACCUAACGGAUUAAGCAUUCCGCCUGGGGAGUAACGGUCGCAAGAUUAAAACUCAAA
rnacentral:rRNA from 1 species